AGUUUUAUAGUUUAAAUAAAAUAUUAAAUUGCAAAUUUAAAGAUAAAAUAUUAUUUUAAAACUU
rnacentral:tRNA from 1 species